rnacentral:lncRNA from 1 species
GAUGGUGACUUACCAAUGGAGAGUAGCACACUACUAUAAUUUUCACAUCAAAGAGAAGAUAUUUCACCUCGACGAUCUAUGAUAAGUGCACUAAUUAGGACAUAAAAGCAUUAAAUCCCUUAUAAAUUGAUCCAUAUUAUAUAGAAUUUGAUACUUUUUAUCUUCUUUUGUAGGAAAUUGAGAGAUUAAUCUAAUCAAGAUCCAAAUUGGUUCAAAUUCAAAGUAAAAUUGAAGAACUAAGAGGCUAGGAGCAACCAAUUGAAGGGCUAAUCAAAUUAGUAAUCCGAUGGUUUAGAAGUAAUGCUCCACUUAACGAU